rnacentral:sRNA from 1 species
CCAUAGCCCCGAUUGCAAUGGAAAUCCUUUUUUGCGAGAGGCUAUGCCGAGCAAAAAAGAUUGGAAUGGAAAGCGGGAAAUAGC